UUGAAGAUUUGAAAACUUGAUUCUUGGCUGCUGCCUUUUAAACAUUUUAAGAUUUCACCCACUUCUGUAAGAUAAGGGUCAAAUCAGGGCCAGUUUAUUGCUAUGUGUGUGUGUGUGUGUGUGUGUGUGUGUGUGUGUGAGAGAGAGAGAGAGAGAGAGAGAGAGCGCUUAAA
rnacentral:sRNA from 1 species